rnacentral:tRNA from 1 species
GGUGGCAGUGCUCGAUUGGUAACAGGGUGGCUCCCGCUUUGCGAUCACUUAAGUAGGUUCGAUUCCUACCUGCGACCG